rnacentral:rRNA from 1 species
UACGUAGGUGGCAAGCGUUGUCCGGAAUUACUGGGCGUAAAGCGUGCGCAGGCGGUUCUCCAAGUCCGUUGUGAAAGCCCCGGGCUCAACCUGGGAAUGGCAGUGGAAACUAGGGGGACUGGAAUCUGGCAGAGGGGGGGUGGAAUUCCACGUGUAGCAGUGAAAUGCGUAGAGAUGUGGAGGAACACCGAUGGCGAAGGCAGCCUCCUGGGCUAGUACUGACGCUCAUGCACGAAAGCGUGGGGAGCAAACAGG